AUGUAGACCUGUUUUUUUCAGUUUCUACUCAUGAUGAUGCAGUCCUUCUGCCAGAGCCAAAGGCAUCACAAACAGGCUCUUACUCUCCAGCAAUUGGGUUGCCACUGAAGGAUUCACUUCCAGCAACUUUCCCAUUGUGUCUUCCAGAGGUUCAAUCUGCUGUUCAUCAAGAAUGUAAUGGCCACAUCCCUCAAGAAAUACAAACGGGAUAGAAGUAGGUUCACCACCCAAUCUGCUCCUACUGAGAUCCUUCAUCUGGAACUGCAGAUAUUUGAUAUGAUCAAUAAUUUCAUCCAUUUGAGAUGCUUUUCCACCCUGUAAACCACAUAAAACUUCUGUUUCACCCAUUUUUUAGGAAGCAGAAAACUGUAUAAUGAAUGGAUAUUGGAUGAUACCAGUAG
rnacentral:misc_RNA from 1 species